AAGAAGAAGAGAGAGUGUGGAACAUUACAGAAUAGUAUGGGAGCGAUAACAUUGAGUUGUUUCGUUAACUCCAUUGGAGGGGAAGCCCCAAAUUCAAGUAAUGGCCUUCCUUCAAAACCAAAGCUGUCUUCUCUCCUUUCCGUUUCAAAGCCAUCUUGGGUCGUCAGAACUGAGUCGAAUGUUCGCAAAGAAAGACGAAAGCAGCCAGAUCCUCCUUGUGUUGUAUGUAAAGGAAAUGGCAGAGUUGAGUGCUACCAUUGCCAUGGCAGAGGGAGGACUAACUUUUUGGACCUAGAAAUGCUUCCAGGAGGAGAAUGGCCAAAAUGGUGCAAGAGUUGUGGUGGAAGUGGGCUUGGAUACUGUUCUCGUUGCCUUGGGACGGGUGAAUACCGAUAUAUAAUGGGCUUUCAUUUCAUGAAACGGGAUGAUGAACCUGAAGUUUGAACCAAACUGCUCCUGGAAGAGCUUCAAACUGUGGGAUAAUGUACCAGGAAGAGCAAGCUUGACGCUAUAUCAAGUUCUACAUAAUGAGAGACAGAGAUUCAAGAACUUACCGUUGUAGCGUUUGUCUCUCGCGAACUACUUACACAACUUUUGUUUGUACCUUUCACUAUAUAGCCAAACUUAUAUCUUGAUUGUGCUCAUGCCAAGAUGGAAUGUUAAUGGUGCCCUUCGUGGUUUUUCACCAA